GGUGGGGUGGCAGAGUGGUCGAAUGCGGCGGUCUUGAAAACCGUUGAGUGUUAAAGCUCCUAGGGUUCGAAUCCCUACCCCACCGCCA
rnacentral:tRNA from 1 species